UUAAAAACUAAGAAGAGAAGAUUAGUCUAUAAGUGGAGUUGUAGAGAGUCGGUAAUGGUGGAAAUCCGAUACAAAACUAUAGCUGAAGAACAUCUCUGAGUUUCUAAUCGAAAUUUUAAAAAAAGAGUAGGUUUAGACGGUUCUGACCCGUUAAAAAUCAGACAGUAUCGAGAAAUCUGUACUGGUUGAAAGAGUAUUGUUAAGCAAGGUGGUACCACGGAAGAUAGCCUUUCGUCCUUUUG
rnacentral:ncRNA from 1 species